rnacentral:lncRNA from 1 species
CCGGCCCCAACUUGCCCAAAUCCAGCUGGAGCCACCGGCGCGACCAGAGGGCAUCACCGGAAACCCCUCCGGGGCGGGCGGCGGGGCGCGGGGAGACCAGGGCGGGCCACCCUUCCCCGCCCCGCCCCGCGCCCCGCCCACGGGACCCGGACCGCGCCCUCAACCCCAGGCCCCGCGGCCACCCUGGACAGCUCCUGACUGACCGACCUGAGAGACACAGAGACAGAGACAGAGACAGAGAGAUUGAGAGGAUCCGAGACACGGACCCAGACAGACACCCACCGGGACAGACACACAGACGCUCACGCUGACGCAGAGAGGCCCUGCCCAAGAGGCAGCUUCCCCACAGGAGGGCGGUGGUGCUUGAGCUGGGCCCGGGCAAGGAGGCGGGGGCCCUGGGGCUGGCGAUCACCCCUGGGGCCCUGGGACGUGCAGACAGGGUCUCAGGAGUGCAGCGCUCCUGGGAUCCCUGUCCCGCGACCCGGACGCCCAGGAGCCACGGACUGGCAGCCGGGCUCGGGCUCGCUCUCGCUCUCGCUCUCGCUCUCGCUCUCGCUCUCGCUCUGUGUGUGUGCGUUUUUGUGUGCGCCUGCGUGUCUGUGUCUGUUUGUGUGUUUCUUUCCUUCUCUCUUCGCCUCUUCGUUCUGGCUCUUUUCCUCUUUCUGCGGGGCGCCCCCGGACUUCCUGAGUUGACAGAACGACCAGCCAGAAAAGUCAGGACACGGAGAACUUCGCCCGAGAAACCAACGCAAUCUACCAGACGUACAGAACCCCCUCCCCGACGACCACAGCGUCCACAGUCUGCUCGAGUGCAGGGCGAAAGAAACUUUGGUAAUAUAUUUCUUUAAAUCUUGGCUCAUGGAUCCAAACAAAUCUGGUCGGGUCUCCUCUGAAGUUCAGAAUAAUAUAAAAAGGCCCAUCCUUUGUCAGGCUGUAAGAAAAUAAUUUCUCAGAUACCAUUGUGUAAAAGCAUCCUGCCUUUGUCAUGGAAUCAGUGACAUAUCUUUCGUUGAUCAAAACAGCAGUGGGAGUACCUGUGGAGCAAUGAUAAGGAUUCAGGAAAUAGUUUACGAUUCAAGUGCAUCCUAAAGUUGGAGCAACCCUGGCUAGAAUAUCAUAGAUCCUUGAGUUGGCAGAGACCUUUCACUCUUCAGUAUAUUUAUAUUCAACGCAAAGAUCCUUCCUUCUAUAUCAUCCUUGACAACAGACCACCUAGAUUCUGUGUAAAUAAUUCCGAUGACAAGAAACGCAUUAAAUAAAGAGACCCCUUUGUUUUUAGAGUUUUAAAUGUUU